AGCACCUGUUGGGAGAGCAGCCUGGGACAAGGGUGAUUUGUGUGGUGCCACAAUGUUGCAUGGAAGGUUCAUGUGGGCUGAGUGUGAAUGGAUACACAACUGUAUGAGUGUGUGAGUGAGGCAUGCAAGGCGAGUGUGUGCACCAGUGCCAGAGCCUUUCCUCCCCACACACCUUGAUCAAGGUGUGAUCCUAGCCCUGAGGAGCUGACCUGAAAUGAAAAGCUCUCCUCCUGAGAAGCCCCCCA